AAAGAGUUUUGGUGUGUCUCCACCAUGAACUGCAUACCUCUACUCUUCCCACUCCUCUUGCUCUACACAGGYUCUGUGGUCUCCUAUGAGCUGACUCAGCCACCCUCAGUCUCAGUAGCCCCAGGACAGACAGCCACAAUCACCUGCUCUGGAGAURAAYUGYCWAAAWAUUAURCAYACUGGUUCCAGCAGCAGCACCCAGGACAGASYCCUGUGCWGRURAUAUACAAAGAUAGUGARAGACCCUCAGGKAUCCCGGAGAGAUUCUCUGGGUCCAGCUCAGGGACAACAGCCACCCUGACCAUCACCAGAACKCAGACUGAAGAUGAGGCURUYUAUUACUGUUUAUCAUCAUAUGAUGAUAGUGGUUUCUGGGCCCAGUCUGCUCUGAAUCAGCCUCCCUCAGUCUCUGGAACUCCUGGACAGUCAGUCACCAUCUCCUGUGCUGGAACCAACAGUGACAUUGGGAAAUAUAAUCAUGUGUCCUGGUUCCAAAUUCAUCCAGGAACAACCCAUAAACUCAUGAUUCACAGUGUUAGUAGUCGGCCCUCAGGGAUCCCUGAUCGUUUCUCUGGCUCCAAGUCUGCACCACAGCCUCUCUGA